rnacentral:rRNA from 1 species
GGUUUACGACCUCGAUGUUGGAUCAGGAUUAGAUCCACCUAGAGGAGCCUGUUCUAGAACCGAUAAUCCCCGUUAACCUCACCCNNCCUCUGNGUCNAUNCCCGCCUAUAUACCGCCGUCGUCAGCCCACCCUGUGAAGGAACUAUAGUGAGCUUAAUUGGUAGNAGCCCAAANNACGCCAGGUCAAGNGUGUAGCUANUGGAAGGGUUGAAAUGGGCUACAUUUCCUGAUUNAAGGANAAUACGGAUUGUAUUAUGAAANNAAUUACAUGAAGGAGGAUUUAG